rnacentral:rRNA from 1 species
UGCAAGUCGAACGCGAACGGCUCCUUCGGGAGCCUAGUAGAGUGGCAAACGGGUGAGUAACGCGUGGGUAACGUACCCUGAUCCUGGGAAUAACCCUCGGAAACGAGGGCUAAUACCGAAUGUGGCGAACGACCGGUUGGUCGCUCGCUAAAGGUGGCCUCUUCUAUGCUGCCGGGUUGGGAUCGGCCCGCGUCCCAUUAGCUAGUUGGUGAGGUAACGGCUCACCAAGGCCACGAUGGGUAGCCGGCCUGAGAGGGUGUACGGCCACACUGGCACUGAGACAAGGGCCAGUCCCCUAUGGGAGGCGCAGGCGGGAAUAGUUCACAAUGGGCGAAAGCCUGAUGACGCGACGCCGCGUGAGCGAAGAAGACCUUCGGGUUGUAAAGCUCUGUCAGGAGGGAAGAAGGCUCUACGGGUCAAUAGCCCGUGGGAUUGACGGUACCUCCAGAGGAAGCCCCGGCUAAAUACGUGCCAGCAGCCGCGGUAAUACGUAUGGGGCAAGCGUUGUCCGGAUUUACUGGGCGUAAAGGGCGCGUAGGCGGUUUGUUAAGUCGAAGGUGAAAUCCUCGGGCUCAACUCGAGAAUUGCCUUCGAUACUGGCAAACUAGAGUGGCGGAGAGGAAAGCGGAACUCUUGGUGUAACGGUGGAAUGUGUAGAUAUCAAGAGGAACACCGGUGGCGAAGGCGGCUUUCUGGACGCACACUGACGCUCAGGCGCGAAAGCGUGGGUAGCAAACAGGAUUAGAUACCCUGGUAGUCCACGCCAUAAACGAUGGGUACUAGGUGUCGGGGGUAUCGACCCCUCCGGUGCCGCAGUUAACGCACUAAGUACCCCGCCUGGGGAUUAUGGUCGCAAGGCUGAAACUCAAAGGAAUUGACGGGGCCCCGCACAAGCGGUGGAGCAUGUGGUUUAAUUCGACGCAACGCGAAGAACCUUACCUGGGCUUGACAUGCUUGGGACAGCGCUGGAAACAGCGUCU